rnacentral:tRNA from 29 species
AGGAGUGUAGCUCAAUUGGUAGAGCGCCGGUCUCCAAAACCGGAGGUUGCGGGUUCGAUGCCUGUCGCUCCUGCCA